AAGACCUCGCGCUCAUGGAGCGGCCGAUGUCGGAUUAGCUAGUUGGCGGGGUAAAGGCCCACCAAGGCGACGAUCCGUAGCUGGUUUGAGAGAACGACCAGCCACACUGGGACUGAGACACGGCCCAGACUCCUACGGGAGGCAGCAGUGGGGAAUUUUGGACAAUGGGCGCAAGCCUGAUCCAGCCAUGCCGCGUGAGUGAAGAAGGCCUUCGGGUUGUAAAGCUCUUUCGGCCGGAACGAAAUCGCGUACGUGAAUAACGUGCGUGGAUGACGGUACUGGAAGAAGAAGCACCGGCUAACUACGUGCCAGCAGCCGCGGUAAUACGUAGGGUGCGGGCGUUAAUCGGAAUUACUGGGCGUAAAGCGUGCGUAGGCGGUUUUGUAAGUCAGAUGUGAAAUCCCCGGGCUUAACCUGGGAACU
rnacentral:rRNA from 1 species